GGGCGGCUAGCUCAGUGGGAGAGCGCUUGCCUCACACGCAAGAGGUCAUUGGUUCAAACCCAAUGCCGCCCACCA
rnacentral:tRNA from 1 species